GACAGUUUGGCCGAGUGGUCUAAGGUGCCAGAUUUAGGCUCUGAUCCGUUAAGGGCGUGGGUUCAAAUCCCACAACUGUAA
rfam:Arabis alpina cultivar Pajares Aa.chr8_contig_501, whole genome shotgun sequence.